rnacentral:rRNA from 1 species
GACGAACGCUGGCGGCGUGCCUAACACAUGCAAGUCGAGCGGAGUCGAUCGACGGAAGCCUUCGGGCGGAAGAUGGUUGACUUAGCGGCGGAUGGGUGAGUAACGCGUGGGCAACCUGCCUCGAAGACCGGGAUAACAGCCCGAAAGGGCUGCUAAUACCGGAUGUGGUCAAGGAUCCGCAUGGAUUUUUGAUUAAAGGGGAAACCCGUUUCGAGAUGGGCCCGCGUCCUAUCAGCUAGUUGGUGAGGUAAAAGCUCACCAAGGCGACGACGGGUAGCCGGCCUGAGAGGGUGACCGGCCACACUGGAACUGAGACACGGUCCAGACUCCUACGGGGGCAGCAGUGGGGAAUCUUCCACAAUGGGCGAAAGCUUGAUGGAGCGACGCCGCGUGAGCGAAGAAGGCCUUCGGUUGUAAGCUCUGUCUGAGGGACGAAGGAAGUGACGGUACCUCCGGAGGAAGCCACGGCUAACUACGUG